UACAGAGGGGGGCCAGCGUUAUUCGGAAUUAUUGGGCGUAAAGGGCGCGUAGGCGGCUUUGCGUGUCUUUCGUGAAAUCCCUCGGCUCAACUGAGGACGUGCGGAAGAAACUGCAGGGCUGGAGUCCGGGAGAGGAGGGUGGAAUUCCCAGUGUAGCGGUGAAAUGCGUAGAUAUUGGGGAGGAACACCGGGUGCGAAGGCGGCCCUCUGGACCGGUACUGACGCUGAUGCGCGAAAGGCGUGGGGACAAACGGG
rnacentral:rRNA from 1 species